rnacentral:rRNA from 1 species
AUGGUCCGCCUUUCCCUGAGAUCCUCGCGGCCGCACGGAGACACAGCUCGCAGCCGCGGCGCACAGCGGAGCGGCGGUCCGCCUGCCUCCGCCGCGCCUAUGGAUUCGUCGUCGCAGCCGCAGCCACAGUCGCCUGCUGCCGGGGGCGACCCGUCGGAGGACGGCGCGGCCGCGGAGCUGCCCCGGCUCACCGUGACGCAGGUGGAGCAGAUGAAGGUGGAGGCGCGGGUAGCCGACAUCUACCGCGUCCUCUUCGACGCCGCGCCCAACGCCAAGUCCGUCAUGCUAGAGCUGUGGCGUGAUCAACAUGUCGAGUAUUUGAUGAAAGGGCUGAGGCAUCUCGCACCUAGCUUCCAUGUGCUCGAUGCCAAUCGGCCUUGGUUAUGCUAUUGGAUGGUUCAUGGGCUUGCGUUGCUGGAUGAAACGCUUGAUGAUGACCUCGAGAACGAUAUUGUGGACUUCUUGUCUCGAUGCCAGGACAAACAUGGUGGAUAUGGUGGUGGACCUGGGCAGUUACCUCAUCUCGCUACAUCGUACGCUGCUGUAAAUACACUUGUAACCAUAGGGAGUGAAAGAGCACUAUCAUCAAUAAAAAGGGACAAUCUGUACAAGUUUAUGCUUCUAAUGAAGGACAAAUCAGGUGCUUUCAGAAUGCAUGAUGGUGGUGAAAUUGAUGUCCGCGCUUGCUAUACUGCAAUAUCGGUUGCCAGCCUCGUGAACAUUCUUGAUGAUGAGCUGGCAAAAGGUGUUGGAAACUACAUAGCAAGUUGUCAAACUUAUGAAGGUGGGAUUGCGGGAGAACCUUCUGCUGAAGCUCAUGGUGGGUACACUUUUUGUGGGCUGGCUGCAAUGGUCCUGCUUAAUGAAGUGGAGAAACUCGAUUUGCCUAGCUUGAUUGGCUGGGUGGCAUUUCGUCAAGGAGUGGAAUGCGGAUUCCAAGGACGGACAAAUAAAUUGGUUGAUGGUUGCUACUCCUUUUGGCAGGGAGCUGCUAUUGCUUUAGCUCAAAAGCUAAUGGCAGGGUCUGAUGAACAAUCUAAACAAUCACAGCCCAGCAAAUUAUCCUCGGUAGAUGAUUCUUGUGGGACCAGCUCAUCUGGAUUGGCUUCAGAAAAAUCUUCUGUUGUGGAUUAUGCGAAGAUUGGAUUUGAUUUUAUGAAGCAGAGCAACCAAAUAGGUCCGCUGUUCCACAACAUUGCUCUGCAACAAUAUAUCCUGCUUUGUGCACAGGUGCCGGAGGGGGGAUUGAGGGAUAAACCUGGAAAGAACAGAGACCACUAUCACUCAUGCUACUGCCUGAGUGGCCUCUCAGUUAGCCAGUACAGCGCAAUGACAGGUUCCGUUUCAUGCCCCUUGCCGCAGCACAUGCUUGGCCCAUACUCGAACUUGCUAGAGCAAAUUCAUCCGCUCUACAACGUUGUGCUAGAGAAAUACGAGGAGGCCUACGAGUUCUUUUCGAGCGAGUGA